AAACUAACAAGGAUUCCCCUAGUAACGGCGAGUGAAGUGGGAAAAGCUCAACUUUGUAAUCUGUCAGCUUCGCUGUCCGAGUUGUAGUCUCGAGAAGUGUUUUCCGCGCUGGAUCGUGUAUGAGUCUGUUGGAAUACAGCGUCAUAGAGGGUGAGAACCCCGUUCGUGACACGACUACCCAGUGCUUUGUGAUACGCUUUCGAUGAGUCGAGUUGUUUGGAAAUGCAAGCUCAAAUUGGGGUGGUAAAUUCCAUCUAAAGCUAAAUAUUGGCGAGAGACCCGAUUAGCAAACAAGUUACCCGUGAGGGAAAGAUGAAAAGCACUUUUGGAAAGAGAGUUAACAGUACCGUGAAAUUUGUUUUGAAAGGGAAACCGCCUUGAAGUCAGACGUGCGUUUUUGUUUGCGAAUUUUCAAGCUCCGG
rnacentral:rRNA from 1 species